AUUUAAAUUAUAGGUGCGAGAUGUAGAUUUUGGAGUGAUUUGUUGAUCCCUAUGCUUUGAAUUUAUAAUUUUCUCAUCUUCUACAUUUGAAUUUGUUAUGUUUUUCUUUAUGAUUUUAUCUCUUAUUGAGUUUUUUUUUCAGACUUUCUUUUGUGACUCACUUUUUUCUCUUACAUAGUUUCUGUUUUAUAGCAGGUCUCUAUUUUAUAGCAUCCAGCCUACUCUCUAAGGUCAGUAAACAGGCCAC
rnacentral:lncRNA from 1 species